AAAAAGACAAACCCUGUUUCCAUGUCUAACAUUUGACCGUCCGUCUUAUUUGAAAAAAUUAUGAAAAAAAUUAAAAAAAACAAGUCACGCAUAAAAUAUUAAUCAUGUUUUAUCAUCUAACAACAAUUAAAAUACAAAUUAUAAAAAAAAUUUAUAUAAAACGGACAGUCAAAAUUGGACACGGAAAUCCAGAGUUUACUUUUUU
rnacentral:pre_miRNA from 1 species